rnacentral:rRNA from 1 species
UACGUAGGGUCCGAGCGUUGUCCGGAAUUACUGGGCGUAAAGAGCUCGUAGGUGGUUUGUCGCGUUGUUCGUGAAAACUCACAGCUUAACUGUGGGCGUGCGGGCGAUACGGGCAGACUUGAGUACUGCAGGGGAGACUGGAAUUCCUGGUGUAGCGGUGGAAUGCGCAGAUAUCAGGAGGAACACCGGUGGCGAAGGCGGGUCUCUGGGCCGAUACUGACGCUGAGGAGCGAAAGCUUGGGGAGCGAACAGG